rnacentral:lncRNA from 1 species
GAGAUCGGUGCUCUAACUUAUUAUCUUACCGACCCUCGACUUCGCGUCCUAGCCUUUGGGCUGCUUGAUAAAGACAUGCUUUUCGGCUGUGUUUUGCUCUUCUUUCCCUUAGCUUGUUUAAGUGUCCAACAAAUUCCACCAAGUGUUGGAGCUCGGAUUUUAGAGCUCACAGGGGUUGUUGGGCUCGGUUUUUGGAUUCUUGAGGCACCAAGUUCGGGCCUCAGACCCCCGGAAAGGGGCCUUAUCAGACUUGUAUAAGUCAUUAU